ACACGACUACAUUAGAUACCCGGGUAGUCCUAGCCGUAAACGAUACUCGCUAGGUGUCGGCCACGGUGCGACCGUUGUCGGUGCCGUAGGGAAGCCGUGAAGCGAGCCACCUGGGAAGUACGGCCGCAAGGCUGAAACUUAAAGGAAUUGGCGGGGAGCACAACAACGGGUGGAGCUUGCGGUUUAAUUGGACUCAACGCCGGAAAUCUCACCGGAUAGGACAGACAUAUGAUAGUCGGGCUGAAGACUCUACUUGAUGAUCUG
rnacentral:rRNA from 1 species